rnacentral:tRNA from 1 species
CGCGCGCCCCGGGGCCGGUACCGGCGGGGGUUCCGGGCGCCCGGCGGGGCGGAACACUCCCGCGCGCCCGGCUCAGCGCCGGGGCCCGCGGCC